AACGCGAAGAACCUUACCUACUCUUGACAUCCUCGGAAUCUUCUAGAGAUAGAGGAGUGCCUUCGGGAACCGAGAGACAGGUGCUGCAUGGCUGUCGUCAGCUCGUGUCGUGAGAUGUUGGGUUAAGUCCCGUAACGAGCGCAACCCUCGCCCUUAGUUGCCAGCGGUUCGGCCGGGAACUCUAAGGGGACUGCCGGUGAUAAACCGGAGGAAGGCGGGGACGACGUCAAGUCAUCAUGGCCCUUACGAGUAGGGCUACACACGUGCUACAAUGGGUAGUACAGAGAGUUGCCAAGCCGCGAGGUGGAGCUAAUCUCACAAAACUGCCCGUAGUUCGGAUUGGAGUCUGCAACUCGACUCCAUGAAGUUGGAAUCGCUAGUAAUCGCGAAUCAGAAUGUCGCGGUGAAUACGUUCUCGGGCCUUGUACACACCGAUAGC
rnacentral:rRNA from 1 species